AGAGAGGUGGCCGAGUGGCUUAAGGCGCACGCUUGGAAAGCGUGUAUACGUUUAUAGCGUAUCGAGGGUUCGAAUCCCUUUCUCUCUG
rnacentral:tRNA from 1 species